UACGUAGGGCGCAAGCGUUGUCCGGAAUUAUUGGGCGUAAAGAGCGUGUAGGCGGUCCGGUAAGUCGGCUGUGAAAGUCCCAGGGCUCAACCCUGGGAUGCCGGUCGAUACUGCCGGACUAGAGUUCGGAAGAGGCGAGUGGAAUUCCCGGUGUAGCGGUGAAAUGCGCAGAUAUCAGGAAGAACACCUAUGGCGAAAGCAGCUCUCUGGGACGGUACUGACGCUGAGACGACGAAAGCGUGGGGAGCGAACAGG
rnacentral:rRNA from 1 species